CAGUAGCCGCGGGAAUACGUAGGUGGCAAGCGUUGUCCGGAAUUAUUGGGCGUAAAGGGCUCGCAGGCGGUUUCUUAAGUCUGAUGUGAAAGCCCCCGGCUCAACCGGGGAGGGUCAUUGGAAACUGGGAAACUUGGGUGCAGAAGAGGAGAGUGGAAUUCCACGUGUAGCGGUGAAAUGCGUAGAGAUGUGGAGGAACACCAGUGGCGAAGGCGACUCUCUGGUCUGUAACUGACGCUGAGGAGCGAAAGCGUGGGGAGCGAACAGGAUUAGAUACCCCUGUAGUCCCUGUCUCUUAUAC
rnacentral:rRNA from 1 species